AUUGAACGCUAGCGGUAGGCUUUACACAUGCAAGUCGAACGAGUGGCGGACGGGUGAGUAAUGUCUGGGAAAAUGCCUAAUGGAGGGGGAUAACUACUGGAAACGGUUGCUAAUACAGCAUAACAUAGAACGUCCCCAGCUGGAUUUAGCUAGUAGGUGGGGUAAAGGAUCACCAAGGCGACGAUCCCUAGCUGGUCUGAGAGGAUGACCAGCCACAUUGGAACUGAGACACGGUCCAGACGCCUACGGGAGGCAGCAGUGGGGAAUAUUGCACAAUGGGGGCAAGCCUGAUGCAGCCAUGCCGCGGGUAUGAAGAAGGCCUUCGGGUUGUAAAGUACGUUCAGCGGGGAGGCGGUACCCGCAGAAGAAGCACCGGCUAACGCCGUGCCAGCAGCCGCGGUAAUAC
rnacentral:rRNA from 1 species